rnacentral:rRNA from 1 species
AUUGAACGCUAGCGGGAUGCUUUACACAUGCAAGUCGAACGGCAGCGCGGACUUCGGUCUGGCGGCGAGUGGCGAACGGGUGAGUAAUGUAUCGGAACGUGCCCAGUCGCGGGGGAUAACUACGCGAAAGCGUAGCUAAUACCGCAUACGCCCUACGGGGGAAAGCAGGGGUUCGUAAGACCUUGCACUUUUGGAGCGGCCGAUAUGGGAUUAGCUAGUUGGUGAGGUAACGGCUCACCAAGGCGACGAUCCGUAGCUGGUUUGAGAGGACGACCAGCCACACUGGGACUGAGACACGGCCCAGACUCCUACGGGAGGCAGCAGUGGGGAAUUUUGGACAAUGGGGGCAACCCUGAUCCAGCCAUCCCGCGUGUGCGAUGAAGGCCUUCGGGUUGUAAAGCACUUUUGGCAGGAAAGAAACGUCGCGGGCUAAUACCCCGUGGAACUGACGGUACCUGCAGAAUAAGCACCGGCUAACUACGUG